UCCGGGUUCGUCCAACCGGCAGGACGCUUGACUUUGGAUCAAGAAAUCGAGGUUCGAAUCCUCGACCCGGAG
rnacentral:tRNA from 1 species